CCUACGGUGGGCUGCAGUGAGGAAUAUUGGUCAAUGGGCGGAAGCCUGAACCAGCCAAGUAGCGUGCAGGAUGACGGCCCUACGGGUUGUAAACUGCUUUUAUACGGGAAUAACGCGCCUUACGUGUAGGGCUUUGCAUGUACCGUAUGAAUAAGGACCGGCUAAUUCCGUGCCAGCAGCCGCGGUAAUACGGAAGGUCCGGGCGUUAUCCGGAUUUAUUGGGUUUAAAGGGAGCGUAGGCGGCAUGUCAAGCGUGCUGUGAAAUGUUCGGGCUCAACCCGGGCCUUGCAGCGGAAACUGGCGUGCUUGAGUGCGCGGAAGGCAGGCGGAAUUCGUCGUGUAGCGGUGAAAUGCUUAGAUAUGACGAAGAACCCCGAUUGCGAAGGCAGCUUGCUGCAGCGGAACUGACGCUGAGGCUCGAAAGCGCGGGGAUCGAACAGGAUUAGAUACCCCAGUAGUC
rnacentral:rRNA from 1 species